GUACCGGUACCAGUAUAAAAUGUACGGUACCGGUACUGUUUCUAGAUUAUUAAAACUGUUAGUGAGGAAAUAGUAGUAGUGAUCACAAAAUUCAGGACUUAAGAUAAGGAAAAUUCUAUCUAAAUCCUGGAAUCCGCUGAAAAUACAUUUCCCUGUGUUAUCUGUGAUGAAAAUUUUUCAUCUGGGUCCAGUUUGGAAAAGCAUAUGUUUUUGUACAAUCACGAUGAAAAUGAUUAUGGAUCUGGAGAUUUAAACAAAUAUGUAACAAGCAACAUUGUGGAAACUCUUCGGCCUAAAUAAACGAUCAUCUAGUUUACAAGAUCAUAUACUAACUCAUACUAAAG